rnacentral:rRNA from 1 species
UACGAAGGACCCGAGCGUUAUCCGGAUUUAUUGGGUUUAAAGGGUGCGUAGGCGGAUUAGUAAGUCAGUGGUGAAAGCCCAUCGCUUAACGGUGGAACUGCCAUUGAUACUGCUAGUCUUGAGUAUGGUUGAGGUGGGCGGAAUGUGUCAUGUAGCGGUGAAAUGCUUAGAUAUGACCCAGAACACCAAUUGCGAAGGCAGGUGACUAAACCGUAACUGACGCUGAGGCACGAAAGCGUGGGGAUCAAACAGG